GACGAACGCUGGCGGCGUGCUUAACACAUGCAAGUCGAACGGAAAGGCCCUGCUUUUGUGGGGUGCUCGAGUGGCGAACGGGUGAGUAACACGUGAGUAACCUGCCCUUGACUUUGGGAUAACUUCAGGAAACUGGGGCUAAUACCGGAUAGGAGCUCCUGCUGCAUGGUGGGGGUUGGAAAGUUUCGGCGGUCGGGGGUGGACUCGCGGCUUAUCAGCUUGUUGGUGGGGUAGUGGCUUACCAAGGCUUUGACGGGUAGCCGGCCUGAGAGGGUGACCGGCCACAUUGGGACUGAGAUACGGCCCAGACUCCUACGGGAGGCAGCAGUGGGGAAUAUUGCACAAUGGGCGGAAGCCUGAUGCAGCAACGCCGCGUGCGGGAUGACGGCCUUCGGGUUGUAAACCGCUUUCGCCUGUGACGAAGCGUGAGUGACGGUAAUGGGUAAAGAAGCACCGGCUAACUACGUG
rnacentral:rRNA from 1 species